rnacentral:rRNA from 1 species
GAUGAACGCUAGCGGCAGGCUUAACACAUGCAAGUCGAGGGGCAGCACGGGUAGCAAUACCUGGUGGCGACCGGCGCAAGGGUGCGUAACGCGUGAGCAACAUGCCCUAUACAGGGGGAUAAUCCAGGGAAACUUGGUCUAAUAUCCCAUAGUAUUUAGAGGAGGCAUCUUCUAUAAAUUAAAGCUUCGGUGGUAUAGGAUUGGCUCGCGUGACAUUAGCUAGAUGGUGAGGUAACGGCUCACCAUGGCAAUGAUGUCUAGGGGUUCUGAGAGGAAGGCCCCCCACACUGGGACUGAGACACGGCCCAGACUCCUACGGGAGGCAGCAGUGAGGAAUAUUGGACAAUGGAUGGAAAUCUGAUCCAGCCAUGCCGCGUGCAGGAAGACAGCCCUAUGGGUUGUAAACUGCUUUUAUAUGGGAGCAAUAAGGUCUACGUGUAGACUGAUGAGAGUACCAUAUGAAUAAGCA